CCUACGGGUGGCAGCAGUGGGGAAUUUUGGACAAUGGGGGGAACCCUGAUCCAGCCAUGCCGCGUGUGUGAAGAAGGCCCUCGGGUUGUAAAGCACUUUCAGUGAGGAAGAACGCCUGGUGGUUAAUACCCAUCAGGAAAGACAUCACUCACAGAAGAAGCACUGGCUAACUCCGUGCCAGCAGCCGCGGUAAUACGGAGGGUGCGAGCGUUAAUCGGAAUUACUGGGCGUAAAGCGCGCGUAGGUGGCUUGAUAAGCCGGUUGUGAAAGCCCCGGGCUCAACCUGGGAACGGCAUCCGGAACUGUCAAGCUAGAGUGCAGGAGAGGAAGGUAGAAUUCCCGGUGUAGCGGUGAAAUGCGUAGAGAUCGGGAGGAAUACCAGUGGCGAAGGCGGCCUUCUGGACUGACACUGACACUGAGGUGCGAAAGCGUGGGUAGCAAACAGGAUUAGAUACCCUGGUAGUC
rnacentral:rRNA from 1 species